rnacentral:rRNA from 1 species
GUGCCAGCAGCCGCGGUAAUACGUAGGUGGCAAGCGUUAUCCGGAAUUAUUGGGCGUAAAGCGCGCGUAGGCGGUUUUUUAAGUCUGAUGUGAAAGCCCACGGCUCAACCGUGGAGGGUCAUUGGAAACUGGAAAACUUGAGUGCAGAAGAGGAAAGUGGAAUUCCAUGUGUAGCGGUGAAAUGCGCAGAGAUAUGGAGGAACACCAGUGGCGAAGGCGACUUUCUGGUCUGUAACUGACGCUGAUGUGCGAAAGCGUGGGGAUCAAACAGGAUUAGAUACCCUGGUAGUCCACGCCGUAAACGAUGUCUGCUAGUCGUUGGGGGGCGCAGCCCUUCAGUGACGCCGCUAACGCAUUAAGCAGACCGCCUGGGGAGUACGGCCGCAAGGUUAAAACUCAAAUAAAUUGACGG